UACAGAGGGGGCAAGCGUUGUUCGGAAUUACUGGGCGUAAGGGGCGCGUAGGCGGCCUGCUAAGUCGAACGUGAAAUCCCUCAGCUUAACUGGGGAACUGCGUGUGAUACUGGAUGGCUUGGAUUUGGGAGAGGGAUGCGGAAUUCCAGGUGUAGCGGUGAAAUGCGUAGAUAUCUGGAGGAACACCGGUGGCGAAGGCGGCAUCCUGGACCAAUAUUGACGCUGAGGAGCGAAAGCCAGGGGAGCAAACGGG
rnacentral:rRNA from 1 species